rnacentral:rRNA from 1 species
AUUGAACGCUGGCGGCAUGCCUUACACAUGCAAGUCGAACGGUAACAGGUCUUCGGAUGCUGACGAGUGGCGAACGGGUGAGUAAUACAUGGGAACGUGCCUAGUAGUGGGGGAUAACUACUCGAAAGAGUGGCUAAUACCGCAUGAGAUCUACGGAUGAAAGCAGGGGAUCGCAAGACCUUGUGCUACUAGAGCGGCCGAUGGCAGAUUAGGUAGUUGGUGGGAUAAAAGCUUACCAAGCCGACGAUCUGUAGCUGGUCUGAGAGGACGAUCGGCCACACUGGGACUGAGACACGGCCCAGACUCCGACGGGAGGCAGCAGUGGGGAAUUUUGGACAAUGGGCGAAAGCCUGAUUCAGCAAUGCCGCGUGCAGGAUGAAGGCCUUCGGGUUGUAAACUGCUUUUGUACGGAACGAAAAGCCCCGGGUUAAUACCCUGGGGUCAUGACGGUACCGUAAGAAUAAGCACCGGCUAACUACGUGCCAGCCGCCGCCGUAA